CUUCUGCCACCGAAUACAUUAGCAUGGGAUAAUGGAAUAGGACCCUGUCCUCCUAUUUUGCGUGUUGGUUUUCGAGGACAGGGUAAUGAUUAAUAGGGAUAGUUGGGGGCAUUAAUAUUUAAUUGUCAGAGGUGAAAUUCUUGGAUUUAUGAAAGAUUGACUUCUGCGAAAGCAUCUGCCAAGGAUGUUUUCAUUAAUCAAGAACGAAAGUUAGGGGAUCGAAGACGAUCAGAUACCGUCGUAGUCUUAACCAUAAACGAUGCCGACCAGCGAUUAGGAGACGUUGAAUACAAAACACCACCGUCGGGUCGGCCGUCCUUGGCCGUCGUGCGCGGCGACGCGCGCGGCGGCGAGGGCGGUGUCUGCCCGACGGCCCGGUGAAUGACUCCCCUAG
rnacentral:rRNA from 1 species